rnacentral:rRNA from 1 species
UGGGGAAUUUUGGACAAUGGGCGAAAGCCUGAUCCAGCAAUGCCGCGUGUGUGAAGAAGGCCUUCGGGUUGUAAAGCACUUUUGUCCGGAAAGAAAUCCUUGGCUCUAAUACAGUCGGGGGAUGACGGUACCGGAAGAAUAAGCACCGGCUAACUACGUGCCAGCAGCCGCGGUAAUACGUAGGGUGCAAGCGUUAAUCGGAAUUACUGGGCGUAAAGCGUGCGCAGGCGGUUUGCUAAGACCGAUGUGAAAUCCCCGGGCUCAACCUGGGAACUGCAUUGGUGACUGGCAGGCUAGAGUAUGGCAGAGGGGGGUAGAAUUCCACGUGUAGCAGUGAAAUGCGUAGAGAUGUGGAGGAAUACCGAUGGCGAAGGCAGCCCCCUGGGCCAAUACUGACGCUCAUGCACGAAAGCGUGGGGAGCAAAACAGGAUUNGAUACCCUGGUAGUCCACGCCCUAAA